rnacentral:rRNA from 1 species
CACGUAGUUAGCCGUCCCUUUCUGGGUAGUUACCGUCACUUGAUGAGCUUUCCACUCUCACCAACGUUCUUCUCUACCAACAGAGUUUUACGAUCCGAAAACCUUCUUCACUCACGCGGCGCUGCUCGGUCAGACUUUCGUCCAUUGCCGAAGAUUCCCUACUGCUGCCUCCCGUAGGAGUUUGGGCCGUGUCUCAGUCCCAAUGUGGCCGAUCACCCUCUCAGGUCGGCUAUGUAUCAUCGCCUUGGUGAGCCUUUACCUCACCAACUAGCUAAUACAACGCGGGAUCAUCUUUGAGUGAUGCAAUUGCAUCUUUCAAACUUAAACUGUGUUUAAAGUUUUAUGCGGUAUUAGCAUUCGUUUCCAAAUGUUCGUCCCCCGCUCAAAGGCAGAUUCCCCACGCGUUACUCACCGUUCGCUGCUCAUCCAGUUGGACAAGUACCAACUUCAGCGCUCAACUUGCAUGUAUAGGCACGCCGCCAGCGUCGUCCGUCGUAGCGAGACG